rnacentral:rRNA from 1 species
CUUGGUCAUUUAGAGGAAGUAAAAGUCGUAACAAGGUCUCCGUUGGUGAACCAGCGGAGGGAUCAUUACAGAGUUGCAAAACUCCCUAAACCAUUGUGAACGUUACCUAAACCGUUGCUUCGGCGGGCGGCCCGGGUCCUUCCCGGCGCCCCUCGGCCCUCGCGGGCGCCCGCCGGAGGUAAACCAAACUAUUGCAUUGUAUGGCCUCUCUGAGUCUUCUGUACUGAAUAAGUCAAAACUUUCAACAACGGAUCUCUUGGUUCUGGCAUCGAUGAAGAACGCAGCGAAAUGCGAUAAGUAAUGUGAAUUGCAGAAUUCAGUGAAUCAUCGAAUCUUUGAACGCACAUUGCGCCCGCCAGUAUUCUGGCGGGCAUGCCUGUUCGAGCGUCAUUUCAACCAUCAAGCCCCGGGCUUGUGUUGGGGACCUGCGGCUGCCGCAGGCCCUGAAAUGCAGUGGCGGGCUCGCUGUCACUCCGAGCGUAGUAGUUACGUCUCGCUCUGGGCGUGCUGCGGGUUCCGGCCGUUAAAAGCCUUAUUUACCCAAGGUUGACCUCGGAUCAGGUAGGUGACCCGCUGAACUUAAGCAUAUCAAUAAGCGGAGGA